CGCGGGGUGGAGCAGUGGUAGCUCGUCGGGCUCAUAACCCGGAGGUCAUGGGUUCGAAUCCCAUCCCCGCAACCA
rnacentral:tRNA from 1 species